rnacentral:rRNA from 1 species
GACAGAGGUGCCGAGCGUUAGGCGGAAUCACUGGGCUUAAAGCGUGUGUAGGCGGAUCUGUAAGUACCUUGUGAAAUCCCACGGCUCAACCGUGGAACUGCUUGGUAUACUGCGGGUCUUGAGCCACCUGGGGGGCAAGUGGAACAAACGGUGGAGCGGUGAAAUGCGUAGAUAUCGUUUGGAACGCCAAUGGUGAAAACAACUUGCUGGGGGUGUGCUGACGCUGAGACACGAAAGCCAGGGGAGCAAACGGG